rnacentral:rRNA from 1 species
GACGAACGCUGGCGGCGUGCUUAACACAUGCAAGUCGAACGGAAAGGCCCUGCUUUUGUGGGGUGCUCGAGUGGCGAACGGGUGAGUAACACGUGAGUAACCUGCCCUUGACUUUGGGAUAACUUCAGGAAACUGGGGCUAAUACCGGAUAGGAGCUCCUGCUGCAUGGUGGGGGUUGGAAAGUUUCGGCGGUUGGGGAUGGACUCGCGGCUUAUCAUCUUGUUGGUGGGGUAGUGGCUUACCAAGGCUUUGACGGGUAGCCCGCCUGAGAGGGUGACCGGCCAAAUUGGGAAGGAGAAAAGGCCCAAGCUACUACGGGAGGAAGCAGUGGGGAAAAAUGGAAAAUGGGCGGGAGGCUGAAGCAGGAACGACGCGUGGGGGGUGAAGGCCUUCGGGUUGUAAACCGCUUUCGCCUGUGACGAAGAGUGAGUGACGGUAAUGGGUAAAGAAGCACCGGCUAACUACGUG